CCCUAGUCCCCGGGUUAAACCGCGACACCCCAAAACGCCUUGAGCGUGCUUGCCGCGCCCGUGCGCGCUCAACGGCUCAACGCGAUGCCGCAGCCGGCGCCGCCCAACCACGAGCCGCCGCCCAUCCACCGGCUUCUGGAGCUGAUGAAGUCCGAGCCCGACCCCGCCACCGCGCUCGCCCACCUGGACCUCCUCGUCUCCACCUGGCCGGCCUACACCCCACCCCAGCCGCUCCUCUUCCACCUGCUCCGCCGCCUCGCCACCUCCUCUCCCUCCCGCCUCCCACGCCUCCUCGGCAUUCUACCGCGCCUCCGCCACCGCCCGCGCUUCUCCGAGUCCGCCGCGCUUGUCGUCCUCUCCGCCUUCUCCCGUGCUCUCAUGCCCGACGCCGCGCUCGCCGCCUUCCGCCGCCUCCCUUCCUUCCUCGGUUGUAACCCGGGCGUCCGUUCGCACAACGCCCUCCUCGACGCUUUUGUGCGGGCCCGUCGAUUCUCGGAUGCCGACGCGUUCUUUGCUUCUCUCUCCCACGGCGCCUUCGGCCGCCGCAUUGCCCCCAACCUCCAGACUUACAACAUCAUGCUCCGCUCGCUCUGCGUGCGUGGGGAUCUCGAUCGAGCAGUGACACUCUUUGACUCCCUUCGCUGCCGUGGACUUGCUCCCGAUCGCAUCACCUACUCCACUCUCAUGUCUGGGUUUGUCAAAAACAACCGUUUGGACAACGCACUUUAUCUGCUCGACGAAAUGCCAAGCUAUGAAGUACAGCCUGAUGCAGUUUGUUACAAUGCAUUGCUCGGUGGGUGUUUCAGAAAUGGUGAAUUUGAGAAAGCUAUGAGGGUGUGGGAGCAGCUGGUGAGAGAUCCAGGUGCGAGUCCCAACCUUGCCACUUAUAAUGUGAUGCUUGAUGGCUUGUGUAAACUUGGGAUGUUUAAGGAGGCGGGUGAUGUAUGGGAGAGGAUGGUGGCAAAUAAUCACCAACCUGACAUGAUUACUUAUGGGACUAUGAUUCAUGGUUUGUGCCGAUCUACGGAUGUGGAUAGUGCGGCAAGGGUAUACUCAGAGAUGAUCAAGACUGGGCUCGUGCCUGAUGUCGUCAUAUAUAAUUCACUCCUCAAGGGGUUUUGCCAUGCGGGGAGGGUAGGAGAGGCCUGGAAAUUCUGGGACUCCAUGAGUGUCUCUGGGAUCCGUAAUGUGACCAGUUAUAAUAUAAUGCUGAAGGGGCUCUUUGAUGGCGGUAUGGUUGAUAAAGCUACAGACUUGUGGGAGCUAUUGGAGAAAGACGAUUCAUUGUCUCCUGACAUGGUGACCUUUAGCACUAUGAUCCAUGGUUUAUGCGAGAAAGGCUUUGCUAACAAGUCCCUUCAAAUCUUGGAGGAAGCACGGACCAGUGGUAAAGAAUUGGAUGAAUUCUCAUAUUCAUCAAUGAUAAGUGGAUUGUGUAAGGAUGGGAGACUGGAUGAUGCAGUGAAGUUAUACGAGAAGAUAUCUAUGGAUAGCUUCAAACCAAAUUCUCAUAUUUACAAUGCACUAAUAAAUGGGUUCUGCCAAGCAUCUAAGUUUAGUGAUGCUAUAAGAGUAUACAGUCAGAUGGCAGAAAAUGACUGUUCUCCUACCACCAUCACAUACAACACUCUUAUACAUGGACUGUGCAAGGCUGAAAAGUAUCUAGAAGCUUCCAGAUUUACAAGGGAAAUGUUAGAGAAAGGUUGUAUGCUAGAUGUUAAUACUUAUGGUUCAUUGAUUCGUGGCCUUUGUAGAGAUAAAAAAAUUGAUGGUGCCCUUGCUCUUUGGAAUCAAAUUCUGGAUAAGGGCCUUCAGACAGAUGUCGUGAUGCACAACAUCUUAAUCCAUGGUCUUUGUUCUGCUGGGAAAGUUGAUGAAGCUUCACAACUUCUCUCAGAAAUGAAAGAGAAGAAUAACUGUUGCCCAAAUGUAGUGACCUACAAUACACUAAUGGAUGGUUUUUAUGAAACCGGUUGUUUUGACAAGGCAGCAUCCCUUUGGAUGGCUAUUUUAGAAAACGGUUUGGUACCAGAUAUAAUUUCGUACAAUACAAGAAUCAAGGGUCUAUGCUCUUGUAACAGAACACCUGAAGGAGUACAAUUAUUGAAUGAGAUGCUUGCAAGCGGCAUUAUACCAACAGCCAUCACAUGGAAUAUACUGGUCAGAGCUGUCAUCAAAUAUGGACCUAUUCAAAUAUGACUUGUUAGAAUUCCUCAUGCUUCUAGCGGUGAUAUAUCAUGUUCAUAGAUGACCUGAGCAACAAGGGCAAUUAAAAUCUGACUCAGAGCAGCAACCUCCCUCCAUUCCACAUCAGCCAUCUGAACGACAGCAAUUGUAAGAUCUAGUAUACCAUCAUCCUUAGCAACCAGCCCAGGGAAAAUUAGACCCAGAGAAGCAACUUUCUCCAGUCCAUCUCAGACAUUGCAGAAAGUGCUUUCACGAUUGAAAGAAGUAUUGCCAUCAGCCCACGCCAUUACUAUUUACUUACCUCAACAAUGUGGAUGCAUUGAACAUGAGGACGCGCUAUGUCCUUUUUGUCACAGGUUUGUUCAUUCCUAACCAUGGCUUAUUUUAUCUGCUCAUGAGUACCAGAAGUUCAGAACGACCUUAAGUGUAGCACCAGGCUGAAUUUUUCUAGGUCGGCACAUUAUCUUCCACUUGACUAGAGAUUUGGUAGAGAAUGGCGUCCCCUGAAUAUUUGUCUCCCUCUUCUCUUUGCCUAAGAAAAUUUGCUAAAUUUGAUUUUUUGAGAGAGCAUCUGGAUUGUAACCUUGUUACCUGUUUUGGCUUUUAAAAGUUGUAAUUGCUGAAACAUAUCUCUGAUGCAACAGUGAGGACAGCUUGAGUUUAUCAGAUCUCAGGUUUGAGAAACCUGUGGUUUAUAUGCCAAGCGACAUCAUAAAUGGCAGAUUCCUGUAUAAAACUAUAGCAUUCAUAUUAAUCUUAUCCACUUCUAUAAGCUACUGAAUAUUUAAUUAAGUCCACUGGUACUUAAAAUCUCUACCCUUAGGUUUAUACAGACCUUCAUUAUUUUACUUCUUAGCUUCUAGUUCUGAUAUACCCUGCUCAUAGAAACAGAGUAGCAACCUUUCUCGACUCUACCUCAGGUUUUGUAAAGACAGCAUCUGGAUCUAUAAGACCAAGU